CCUACGGGUGGCAGCAGUGAGGAAUAUUGGUCAAUGGACGAGAGUCUGAACCAGCCAAGUAGCGUGAAGGAUGACUGCCCUAUGGGUUGUAAACUUCUUUUAUAUGGGAAUAAAACGUUCCACGUGUGGGAUUUUGUAUGUACCAUAUGAAUAAGGAUCGGCUAACGCCGUGCCAGCAGCCGCGGUAAUACGGAGGAUCCGAGCGUUAUCCGGAUUUAUUGGGUUUAAAGGGGGCGUAGGUGGAUUGUUAAGUCAGUUGUGAAAGUUUGCGGCUCAACCGUAAAAUUGCAGUUGAAACUGGCAGUCUUGAGUACAGGAGAGGUGUGCGGAAGUCGUGGUGUAGCGGUGAAAUGCUUAGAUAUCACGAAGAACUCCGAUUGCGAAGGCAGUUCACUGGACUGCAACUGACACUGAGGCUCGAAAGUGUGGGUAUCAAACAGGAUUAGAUACCCCAGUAGUC
rnacentral:rRNA from 1 species